AUCUAACUUUGUAUGAGCUUCUCGCGGUUUCAUUAUCAAAAGACUUAACCAGGGCUGCUGCUUUUGUUUUCAAAUCUUUACUUAGGGUUUUAAAAAUGAUUUCUUCUGCCUUUGUGAUAGGAGAACGGCAGAUAAUUAGGGUAACUAUGCGGUUUAGGUUAAGAAUCACAGACACCGGCGAAUUUUCUCGAAUCGUGGGCCGAGCGCCCUGGCUUCCCCCCCUCCAUGCUCGCGGGAAGCCCGGACCACGGACGGCCGCGGGGUGAGCGCACGGGGCGCGGCCGGCCGCCGGGCCCGCCCCUCCCCCACGGCGCCUGCGCCCGCGCUCUACCCGGAGGCCACGCCAAGGCCUGGGGGUUAUUUCGGCCGCCCGCGGCGGUAGCAGUGCCCGGGGACGGUGUGGGCCUUUCUCCGGCUGCGGACAGCGAGUGGCGGAGGAGCCGGGCGGAAGGCGUCGGGACAGAGGCUGGCGUUUAGUGAGAGCUAUCCGAGUUUGCCCAGCAUCCCGUUAAUCUCGCACUCCUGUGCGUAAAACCGUAUGUGAGCAACAGAGUCGAGUAGUUCGGACGCAGACCUCACGUGCAAGAAUGCCUGAAGUACUUACUAUCUGGCCCUUUAUAGAAAAAGUUUGCCAACUCCUGCUGCAAUCAGUAAGUCAUCUGUUGAAGGGCAUCUCGGCUCCUUCCACGAUUUAGCUAUUGUGGACAAUGCUGCUAUGAACAUUGGGGUGAAGAGAUGCCCUUCUCUUCACUACGUCUGUAUCUUUGGGGUAAGUACCCAGUAGUGCAAUGGCUGGUACUGUGAUUUUAUCCUGUUCAUUCAUUUGGGACAUACAGCUCUCUCCACUUAUGUUUUGUAACUGUUUGUUUCUAUCUACUACGUCGGUCAGCUCCAUCUCCUGGUCUUGAAAGUGGUGGCCUUGUGUAGAAGAGGUCUGGAAUACUCUGCAACACAGCGUCCCUCUCAGAUCACCAGAACCAGGGGAGUCCUCUAUGUGGGCUACACGUGACCUACUAUCAUGGCAGGAAGGACCUUGAAGCGCAGAGGAAAUUCUUCAACAGCUGAAUAGUCAGCAUGAUACUUUAACUUUCUGGACAUGACUGCUUACUGAGGUCCUUGGGACAUCUCACAUACAGCCAGCAGAUGGUAAAGACUGUUGCUAAGGGACAUUUUGGUAGCUAAAGCCCCCCAAUUGGUGGACACAGAUCAAGCACUUAAAAACUACUAGAGGGCUCACCACCUCGAGAAGACUGUCGUGAAAGGACACAACUGGAACAUUUGUUAUAUAACCAAGGCUUUGACUGGAAUGUCCUAUUUGAGAGAGAGAUGCAUAAACUCAGGUAUGACCAGACAGCUUUAAGAAACCAGUAAAGCCCUCAAAAGUACCAGUUUGGUACCCUGCUUCCAGAGUUCCCAGCAGCCUUACCAGGUGAGUAAAGGUUGUCACUCCCUGGCAAAUACAGGAACCUCAGGAUACUUUGGGGACCUCGAGCAGAGAGGAAUUCACCCCCACCUGUAGGUAUUGCAGCAGAAGUUCUGAUGGCAAGUAUUUGGCUUGGCUUCUGGCCUCAAGAGGCUGUUAAAACUUCAAUCAAGGAAAAGUUCCAGCAGGUUCUGAAGAAUUUACCUUAAGCAACUGCUAUUCUGGCUGGCCUCAGGUAAAUGAUCAGGCCAAGUUUUUUUUGAGACUAGACUUAUUUUGCAAACAAAUUAGUAUUAAUUUGGCUAUCUAUGAAGGGUGAUAAUAGAGAAAAUAUGUUUCAGUAACACAUCUGAGUAAAUAUCAGAUUGUAAUACUGUUCAUUAGAAACUGGACUAAAUCCUGAUUUCUUCUAAUUUCCUCCAAUGCCUAACCGUAAUUCUCCAAAGUAACAUUUUUAUUUUUCUUCCAACCUUCUACGUUGGACUCAUCUGAGAACUAAGACUGCCUUUCCCCUGAAGCCCUAUAAACUAAAUUUACGUAAACUUCAGAGAAAUCACCACAACAGCUCACAUACAGGCAAUCUUCAUGCCUGCUGCUCUGGGGGCCACUCAAAGAUCACCAGAGACAGUCCAACUACAAGCCAGGAAAACCGGUCAGACUGCACUGAAGACAGUCCAAGCUUAACACCGAGAACUCUUGACUGACUACCCUCAAAAUUCAGAAACUGAUUUAUAGUUUGAUCCAGUCAUUAACCACUGUUUUUGUUUCCACAGGAAUGCCUCUUAUUUAAUACCUGAUUGCUUGAACUUUAGGCAUAACCUGCAUCCCUGCCUCCCGAAAUGAGUUUGAACUGACCUAUUGCCAGGCCUGGUUCGGUAAAACCAAUCAACCAGCUCAAUCUUAAUGUGUGAAACUUCAGAGAAGUUUCAGAGCAGGAAACUGCAGAGGCCCAGGGCAGGGCAUCCCAAGAGGGACCACUUUGGCAUGAACACUAUUUUGAGUUA